UCCAGAGGUGAAGCGCCCUCCUGGUAACACCUCGGGAAUGAGAACAGCUGACUUACCAUCAAAUGUUAUGUCAUUCCCAGAGAAAAUACACAGCAAUGGUAAUGCCCCAGCAAACAACUAUGCAAGCUUUUGCCAUGUUUCCAGCCAUCCCUCGUGUUUUCCUUGUGGUUGUUUACCCAUUUGGCACAUGCUUCACAGUGUUUUGGAUGCAUCAUCAAACCUUUUUUCCUGGAUCAUGGCAGACUGCCAUUCCUUUUUCUGUUGCUCGUCAUUCCGUGUUUGUUUCUUUCAAAAAUGAAAAGCUGUAA
rnacentral:lncRNA from 1 species